GCAAAGAAAUAAGUAACACUAGACCAGUCAGGCAAUAAACAUUAUGCUGGAGGAGAACAGAUCAAAAUGUAUUUACCAUGUUGCACCUUGAGACAGCACAGAACAAAGGCAUAUAACGUAAAAGAGUACUGUCCCAGAAGAUAUUUUACUUUACUGCUGAAUACAUGUGCUAGUAUGAAUCCACUCUUGGUGUCUGUGCAAUACACAUAAUUAUUGCCGUCCUUCCUGAGAACAGUAGUCAAGCUUUUAUGUAUCUACCACUGAGAAACCCUCCACCAAAAAAGAUGAUUUUUCCCUACUU